rnacentral:rRNA from 1 species
AUUGAACGCUGGCGGCAUGCCUUACACAUGCAAGUCGAACGGUAACAGGUCUUCGGAUGCUGACGAGUGGCGAACGGGUGAGUAAUACAUCGGAACGUGCCUAGUAGUGGGGGAUAACUACUCGAAAGAGUGGCUAAUACCGCAUGAGAUCUACGGAUGAAAGCAGGGGAUCGCAAGACCUUGUGCUACUAGAGCGGCCGAUGGCAGAUUAGGUAGUUGGUGGGAUAAAAGCUUACCAAGCCGACGAUCUGUAGCUGAUCUGAGAGGACGAUCAGCCACACUGGGACUGAGAAACGGCCCAGACUCCUACGGGAGGAAGCAGUGGGGAAUUUUGGACAAUGGGCGCAAGCCUGAUCCAGCAAUGCCGCGUGCAGGAUGAAGGCCUUCGGGUUGUAAACUGCUUUUGGACGGAACGAAAAGCCCCGGGUUAAUACCCUGGGGUCAUGACGGUACCGUAAGAAUAAGCACCGGCUAACUACGUGCCAGCCGCCGCGGUAA